AAUGGCAUUUUUAAAAGAUGGCUUUCUUAAAAAAGGAUACUCAGUUGCUCUUCUACUCAUACCAAGAACAUUUCCGCUGGAUAUUUGGAUACUGAACAGGAGUAACAAGAGGAACAGCUCCUACCUCCCCCCUGCCCCUUCCCUCACAAGCCUGUGAGUCAGGGCAGGGGCAGCCACUGAAAGUAGCAGAGGCCUUCAUAAAGGAGAAGUGAGUGGGAUCUGAGGGGACAAAGGAUCCCUGCCCAAGUGCAUGUCAUCCAGUGGCUGACCACAGUGUUCACGGCUGCCGCCAUUAGUCUUUCAUCUUUGGAUUGAGACCCAGUCUCCCAGAAGACCCUAUGCCAAUGCAAAUGGCUACUGGACAGUGAUAAUGUAUAAUGUUCCCUAUCCAGGUUGUCAGGUAGACCUUUGGAUUAACUCCCCAAAAGCAGCCCCCUAGGAGACAGGCGACAGCACCGCAGUCAGGGGAUGCAGGCGUGGAGGGUAAGAGCACGCGUCUAGAUUUCAGUUCAGUCUCUACCAUG
rnacentral:lncRNA from 10 species